UUCUCCUCGGCCCUCCGUCGCUCUGUCCUUUCCCUAAGGUCUUCGAUUCCGAAAGCCUUCAUGGUUCACAAGAGCAACACGCGUUGUCGAGGAGCUGUGGUGGAUUUUGAAUCGGGGUAGGUGCUUAUGGCCGUCUAUGAAGUGAAGUGGAGAAGAGAAGAGAAGAAGAAUGGACAGACUCGUGGGCCGGAAUCGAGGGAAGGCGAUGGGCGAUUGAUGUUACUCAUCUCAUUGCUCCCCCUCUUUUUUCCUGAAAAAGUUGAUAUUUGUGAUCCACGGGUUGAAACCAUUUGUAGUUGCUGGCGUUCCAACACGGAAAUUUGCUGAUCGAUUCCAUUCAUGUGAACAAGAAAGUGUAGUUUCUUUCAGAAUUCCAAGAAAAGGAUGUUCUGUACAUUCUUCGAUUUUGUGGGCUUACAUUUCAUGGAAAAUGCCGUGUGUGUAGAAUUUCAUUGCAAGAUCUCCUGAUAGAAAACAUGCAACCUUAACAAGAAAAUUUUGUUUCAGAUCCAUGCUAGUAUCAGUUUGCAGAGCACAGUCAGACUAGUCUGUGGCAGAGACCCAAAGAAUGGCAUAUUCUUAGCAAGACCACCUAGUGCCUUUGGCCUACUGAUCUAGUUGAGAUUUACCCAACACUCUUUGGUUCAUUUCUGAGGAUGUAGACUCAACUCAAUGAGAUCAGCAGCUGUAUGUGGUGGUACAAGCAGAUGCUGAGCAUCAACCUCCGUUAUCAGCAGAAUUUUUUCUCCGGAGUUUACUGAAUGUGCGUGCUCUGGGAGACAAGAAUGAAUCAAUUCGAUUAGGUGUCAUCAGAUACAUGUGAGACACCAGCAGCAACACUCAUCAAUUAGGUUCAGAGUCUUUGGGUCCAUCUCUUGUUGCAACAGUUGCUACUAUUCCUCAUGGCUCAAGAAAUGUCAUUUCCACUGCAGAUGGCAAUGGGUUGAAGGAAAUCCUUGCUUGUGAGUACAAGUUUGCCAGUGGACUACAUAGAUUUUGCUUGAACUCGAAACUUCAUCCAUACCUUUCCCAGGCCAGAAAACUUUUGGGAGUAGGUAGAACAAGAUAGUUUGAUAUGGACAACGGAAGGCGUCAAACCUACCCUACUACUACUACUACUAAUUCAAGGGAUGUGAGUUGUUUCGAGUAAGAAGAUGACCUCAUGAACAGUCUCUGGAGUGGCCAAGACCUAUUCAGUUCAAAGAGGAAGCACCUAACACCAGACAGACAUAAAUAGGAGGUCAUAAGAAAACUACAAGAAACUUGACAUUCCAUUAUUGAUCUGCCAGACUACUUCCCCAAGUACUUGCCAUUGUAGUCUGUGGUUUAUUUGCCACCGUUUUAGUUGUGAGGA